rnacentral:rRNA from 1 species
GAUCAUGGCUCAGGAUGAACGCUGGCGGCGUGCUUAACACAUGCAAGUCGAACGGAGAUGUUUCGCUGAAGCGGUUUACCAAUUCUUGAGACAUCUUAGUGGCGGACGGGUGAGUAACGCGUGGGUAACCUGCCGUAUACAGGGGGGAUAACACUUAGAAAUAGGUGCUAAUACCGCAUAAGCGCACGAGGUCGCAUGACCAUGUGUGAAAAACUCCGGUGGUAUACGAUGGACCCGCGUCUGAUUAGCUAGUUGGUGAGGUAAUGGCUCACCAAGGCGACGAUCAGUAGCCGGCCUGAGAGGGUGAACGGCCACAUUGGGACUGAGACACGGCCCAAACUCCUACGGGAGGCAGCAGUGGGGAAUAUUGCACAAUGGGGGAAACCCUGAUGCAGCGACGCCGCGUGAGUGAAGAAGUAUUUCGGUAUGUAAAGCUCUAUCAGCAAGGAAGAAAAUGACGGUACUUGACUAAGAAGCCCCGGCUAACUACGUG